AGAGUUUGAUCCUGGCUCAGGAUGAACGCUGGCGGCGUGCCUAACACAUGCAAGUCGAGCGAAGCGAUGUUAAGGAAGUUUUCGGAUGGAAUUAAGAUUGACUUAGCGGCGGACGGGUGAGUAACGCGUGGGUAACCUGCCUUAUACAGGGGGAUAACAGUUAGAAAUGACUGCUAAUACCGCAUAAGCGCACGGGAACGCAUGUUUCUGUGUGAAAAACUGAGGUAGUAUAAGAUGGACCCGCGUCUGAUUAGCUAGUUGGUGGGGUAACGGCCUACCAAGGCGACGAUCAGUAGCCGGCCUGAGAGGGUGACCGGCCACAUUGGGACUGAGACACGGCCCAAACUCCUACGGGAGGCAGCAGUGGGGAAUAUUGCACAAUGGGGGAAACCCUGAUGCAGCGACGCCGCGUGAGUGAAGAAGUAUUUCGGUAUGUAAAGCUCUAUCAGCAGGGAAGAAGCAAGACGGUACCUGACUAAGAAGCCCCGGCUAACUACGUGCCAGCAGCCGCGGUAAUACGUAGUGGGCAAGCGUUAUCCGGAUUUACUGGGUGUAAAGGGAGCGUAGACGGUAUGGCAAGUCUGAAGUGAAAAGCCCAGGGCCUUAACCCUGGGACUGCUUUGGAAACUUGUUAGACUAGAGUGCUGGAGAGGUAAGGUGGAAUUCCCUAGUGUAGCGGUGAAAUGCGUAAAAUAUUAGGAGGAACACCAGUGGGGAAGGCGGCUUAUUGGACAGUAACUGACGUUGAGGCUCGAAAGCGUGGGGAGCAAACAGGAUUAGAUACCCUGGUAGUCCACGCUGUAAACGAUGAAUACUAGGUGUUGGCGGGCAAAGCCCGUCGGUGCCGCCGCAAAGGCAAUAAGUAUUCCACCUGGGGAGUACGUUCGCAAGAAUAAAACUCAAANGAAUUGACGGGGACCGGGGCAAGCGGUGGAGCAUGUGGUUUAAUUCGAAGCAACGCGAAGAACCUUACCAAGUCUUGACAUCCCUUUGAAUGGAGAGUAAAGUUUCCAGGCCUACGGGACAAAGGAGACAGGUGGUGCAUGGUUGUCGUCAGCUCGUGUCGUGAGAUGUUGGGUUAAGUCCCGCAACGAGCGCAACCCUUAUUCUUAGUAGCCAGCAGGUAAGGCUGGGCACUCUGGGAAGACUGCCAGGGAUAACCUGGAGGAAGGUGGGGAUGACGUCAAAUCAUCAUGCCCCUUAUGAUUUGGGCUACACACGUGCUACAAUGGCGUAAACAAAGGGAGGCGAAGGAGUAAUCUGGAGCGAACCCCAAAAAUAACGUCUCAGUUCGGACUGUGGUCUGCAACCCGACCACACGAAGCUGGAAUCGCUAGUAAUCGCGAAUCAGAAUGUCGCGGUGAAUACGUAACCGGGUCUUG
rnacentral:rRNA from 1 species